GACGAACGCUGGCGGCGUGCUUAACACAUGCAAGUCGAACGGAAAGACCCUGCUUUUGUGGGGUGCUCGAGUGGCGAACGGGUGAGUAACACGUGAGUAACCUGCCCUUGACUUUGGGAUAACUUCAGGAAACUGGGGCUAAUACCGGAUAGGAGCUCCUGCUGCAUGGUGGGGGUUGGAAAGUUUCGGCGGUUGGGGAUGGGCUCGCGGCUUAUCAGCUUGUUGGUGGGGUAGUGGCUUACCAAGGCUUUGACGGGUAGCCGGCCUGAGAGGGUGACCGGCCACAUUGGGACUGAGAUACGGCCCAGACUCCUACGGGAGGCAGCAGUGGGGAAUAUUGCACAAUGGGCGGAAGCCUGAUGCAGCAACGCCGCGUGCGGGAUGACGGCCUUCGGGUUGUAAACCGCUUUCGCCUGUGACGAAGCGUGAGUGACGGUAAUGGGUAAAGAAGCACCGGCUAACUACGUG
rnacentral:rRNA from 1 species